UCCAACUCUUCCUCUCUCGUUCUCUGCCUCCCAUCAAAACCUCCACCCACCCCGCCCUCCUUCUCUUCUCCGGCGUCGUCGGCCGCAGUGCCUGGAUCCAGCGAAGCCGUGCCUCUAUUUCUCCUCAUAUCUCAACAGAUUUUCACCUCUCUCCUUCUCAUCCCUCAAUUCCUCAGUUCGUGCCCUAGAUCUUCUUCCAAAAUGUUGUCACCUCAAGGAUCUCCGCCACGAUUAGCUCCGGCGAGGCUGGCUGCCGCCGCCUCUGAAAUUGGCGAGGCAAUCGUCAUCCCCUGUUCUCACCGAUGGAGGCGAGGCGGUGCUUUGUCCUUGGCCUCGGCCGAUGAUUAUAGCAGUCAAUGUCGCGCCUCUCUCUCUCUCUCUCUCUCUCUCUCUCUCUCUCUCUCUCCCAUCGUCCUUCUCGGUCUUCAGCACCCCAAAUCCUAAACCCUAGGUUGUCGCAGGCGGCCUAUCAUCGAAGCCUCUCAGGAAAUCCAACUUUCCCUUCACGACCUAUCUCGCGCUCCUCUCUUUUUUCCCCAAAUCUAGAAACCUAGGUCAUUUGUCGCCACCGCCACCGCCUCCAUCGGUAGUCGCCUCCCUCGCACUGAAAUACUCGAAUUUUGAAGGCGGAGGCCCUCUCUCUCUCAGAUAAUAUGCACAAAUUGGGUUCCUGAACUCUGCACAAUUCUCUCCUUAUCUAUCUCCACUCUCCAACUCCAGUUGAGACUGUAUUCCAUGAAUUUGGCCAUGCUCUUCAGCAUAUGCUGAAGAGGCAGGAUGAGGGUUUUGCUGGUAUAAGGAAUGUAGAGUGGGAUGCCGUGGAAACAAGGCAGGAUGAGUUUUGGGAGGAUGGCAAGAUCUUUAGCUAAUUUUCUUUACAAAGGCAUUGCUGCAUUUUCAGCUGCUAGUUCAACUGUAAGUUUAUUUAGUUUUAUGUUUGCUUGAAUAUCUCUAAACUACGCAUUUUUUCAUAGCUUGUGAGCAGCUUAAUUGCAUCACCUUUCUCAUUUCCUAACAGAUUGGUUAAAUAGGAAGCAUGAUCAGCUUCAGUAUUCUUAUUGCAUGAGCGAAAAUUGUUAGUUUAUUCACUCAACUUAUUUUUCCAUUAUCAUAUAAAUUAGAGGAAUAGUUAAUUAUGCCAAUACUGUUUAUCAAUUUGAGUCACCCUAAGCCUUCUCAUGUCCUGUAAUGCGAGAAGAGGAUGACACCUAGAAAAAGGUUACAGUGGGCCAUGGUCAUAGUAUAAACUAUAAAGACAUAUCAUACUUCCAUUUUGAAAUUUCCACAACUUCCAGACAGGCCUGAUUGAGAACAAGAGUGGGUUUUACAUGUGCUGCAGGAGAGGUAGGAAUAUAUGUGUAGCUGUUGUAGUUCUUUGAAACUUGUUGUUAGCAUGUGCAUGAUGAUAAAAUUUUAACUUGUAAUUAGUUUUAUUUUUCUGUUUUAAUAUCUGAUGAACUGUUACAUUUAAUGGCAAUAUACUUGUGAAUAUGUGUUGAACCAAGAAUUAGUUUAUCAGUAUAUAGUCUUUCAACCUGUACUAAAUGCAUGCUUACCAGCUACCAGUGAAUUGGGAGUUCUGACAUCUCCUUGAAGGACAUUGUUGAGCAGGUAAGACUCUGAUGAUUGGUAUGCGCGGUGCUUCUCAGGUCUAUUGACUAAGAAAUUUAUCGCUUUGAUAAAGCAUGCAAAGGAUGGUGAACUUGAUCUAAACAAGCUGGCUGACACUUUGCAGUACUGAAGCCAUCUGAAGUUGCCCCUGCAACUUCCUCAGUUAUCUCAAAACUUCUUGGGCAGUAUAUGGAUGUCUCAGCUGUGAAAGUUAUAGAAGGUGGUAUUCACGAAACAAGUGCAUUACUGGAACAAAAAUGGGACAAAAUAUUUUACACAGGUACUUGUGAGCUAAUAAACACCCAUAGUUGGUUCAUAGUAAAAGAGUCUGCUCAACCUUUUAGAUGCUAAUGUUGCUAGGUGGUUUUACAUACAAGAGUAUUUUCUCUAU